rnacentral:rRNA from 1 species
CUAAAAACUUAGCUUUACUUCUCUCCAAUGUUUACCCUAAUCUUAAACAAUAAAAUAAAACAUUUUACACAUUUAGUAAAGGCGAUUAAAAAAUGUCUUAAAGCUAUAAAACAAGUACCGCAAGGGAACAGUGAAAUAAUAAUGAAAACUAAAGCACAUAAAAGCAGAGCCUCAACCUCGUACCUUUUGCAUCAUGGUCUAACUAGUCCCCUCAAGCAGAAUGAACUUUAAGUUUGACCCCCCGAAACUAAGUGAGCUACUUAAAAACAGCCUUCUGGGCCAACCCGUCUCUGUUGCAAAAGAGUGGGAAGAUUCUUAAGUAGAGGUGAUAAACCUACCGAACUUAGAGAUAGCUGGUUAUUCAGGAAAAGGAUUUAAGUCCUACCUUAGGUUUUUAUACAACAUAAGUACCUCAAAACCUUAAGAGCUAUUCAAAUAAGGUACAGCCUAUUUGAAACAGGAUACAACCUCACCA